AUUGUUGUGAGCAGUUUCAGCAGAUAGACAGAUCUGCUUAUGCUUGUCGUUAGCUUGCUAAGUUAGCCAGCUAACAUUAAUCACAAUAAACUGUAAACUGGUGAGAAUCAGGCUGUGGUGAAGAUUUGUUUAACUCUUUGGAGUCUUGGGCUAUUUUGUCCAUUUUUGGAUCCUUUUCAUGUCUUUUUUUAGUCAUUUUGUUUCUU